rnacentral:lncRNA from 1 species
AUGGUGGCAGUGAGUCGCGCAAUCAACCGUAUGCAGAAACAUUACAUAUGAAUGCGUUUGCUCGUCUU